CGGACGGGUGAGUAACGCGUGGAAAACCUGCCGUAUUCUGGGGGAUAACACUUAGAAAUAGGUGCUAAUACCGCAUAAGCGCACAGCUUCGCAUGAAGCAGUGUGAAAAACUCCGGUGGUAUACGAUGGUUCCGCGUCUGAUUAGCUAGUUGGUGAGGUAAAAGCCCACCAAGGCGACGAUCAGUAGCCGGCCUGAGAGGGUGAACGGCCACAUUGGGACUGAGACACGGCCCAGACUCCUACGGAAGGCAGCAG
rnacentral:rRNA from 1 species